rnacentral:rRNA from 1 species
GGGGUUUGGGGGAAAAGGAAUCAACAAGAUUACGACGUGAACCUUGGUGAAUCGCUAAAUAGAAACCCUUAUGUCUUUUUUAAUAUCCCCAAAAACAAGGGAAAUUGUUUUUAUUUAUUUAUUUUUGUGAAGCCCACUUAUUUCUUUGUAAACCCGGAUCUUUGGUCCCUCACCGUCGAAUGGUCUCCCCCACUACCUAGUUGACAGGUAAGUCCCCUUAAGGGGGCGAUGCGAAGCUACCUAAAGGGUUAUCGGCUCCCUUGGAACUAAAAAAGGGCCCAAAUUCUUACGGAAGGAUCAAUAAGGAAAUAUCCCCCAUGGGCUAAAACCCGAACGUGGAACCACCCCUGAAUUGAGAAGGUUUUUGAAAUGUAAAACUCUUGUAAAAGGGAAAAACCCUCCCCCCACAAAACCGCCGGGGGCGCUCCCGUUCCCGGCCCCAAACCCUCUGUUUAAGUUUUGCCCCCUGCCGCGGUAAUCCCAAGGGGGGAAGGUUUUUGCCGUAAUUUUUGGGCUUAAAGGGUACCAAACCCUUUUCCCCCUUCCAUAUGGUUUGGCCCCGGUUCAACCCGGGAAGCUAAUUGUAGAUUUGUCAACCUGGUUUCCCAACUAGAAAAGGGGAAUUCCCCCUGAAAGCGGGAAAUGCACAGGUAUUUGUAGGAACAUCAAUGGCAAUGGCCACUCUCUGGUCAGUACCUGACUCUGAGUGCUAAUCCAUGGGGAGAAAUCCAAUAGAUUCCCUGGUAGACAUGCGGUAACACAUAAUGCUAGGUGUAAGGGUUCGAUACCCUUAGGCCAAAUAACGAAUAAGCUCUUCCCCCUGGGAGUACGACCGCGAGGUGAAACUCUAAGGAGUGGUGUGGUGGACCACAACAGUGGAGCAUGUGCUGUAAUACUCGCGCGGGUAUAACAUUCACAUCAUGUCAUCAUUCACAACUCUCUAUAGAGCGGUCGUCUCGUCGACGUAUGAACGAUGUGAUGAUGUCUCAGCUCCGUCUGAAAGAUAGGUAGUCCGUACGAGCUGAGGCCUAACCUCACUUCAUCGUUCGCUAGCACCUGCAGUGAGCUGCUGGUCACUAGAAUGGCGAUGACGCUAUACUUAGACCGUAGACAUGUCAUAUCGGUCACUCGGAACUGGGAUGAUUACGAGACGUAUCGCAACUCUAUCGAUGUGCUAUGUGCUCGAUGAUC